rnacentral:rRNA from 1 species
GAUCACGGGCCCAAGGGCACAUGGCGGAUGUCUUGGCGUCGAGAGGCGAUGAAGGACGUGGUAACCUGCGAUAAGCCCGAAGGAGCCGGUAACAGGCUUUGAUUUUGGGAUUUCCGAAUGGGGCAACCCACCCUGCGGGGUACUCAAUGCUGAAUGUAUAGGUAUUGAGAGCGAACCUGGUGAACUGAAACAUCUAAGUAGCCAGAGGAAAAGAAAGCAAACGCGAUUCCCCUAGUAGCGGCGAGCGAAAAGGGACCAACCGACAGACUCACGAACCACCUGGAAAGGUGGACCACAGAAGGUGACAGUCCUGUAAUGACGAGUCGGCCAGCCCACGAGUAGUACGGAGCCCGUGAAACUCCGUGCGAACAUGGGGGGUCCACCCCCUAAGGCUAAAUACUCCUCGACGACCGAUAGUGAACCAGUAAGGUGACUGAACGAUGAAAAGCACCCCGACAAGGGGAGUGAAAAGUACCUGAAACCAUGUGCCUACAAGCGGUGGGAGCCUUCGGGUGACCGCGUGCCUUUUGCAUAAUGAUCCUGCGAGUUGGUCUUCAUAGCUAGGUUAAGCAGUACCGCUGCGUAGCCGUAGGGAAACCGAGCCUGAAAGGGCGUUGAGUUGUGGGGACCAGACGCGAAACCUUAGUGAUCUACCCAUGGGCAGGUUGAAGGCCGGGUAACACCGGCUGGAGGACCGAACUCACUAACGUUGAAAAGUUAGGGGAUGACCUGUGGGGAGGACUAAAAGUGUAAUCAAACUGGGAGAUAGCUCGUUCUCCGCGAAAUGCCUUUAGGGGCAGCCUCGUGUUACAUCCAGCAGGGGUAGAGCACUGAUUCGGGCUGGGGGGUAUUGCACCUACCCACCUGAGUCAAACUCCGAAUACUGUUGGACUCUGUCACGGGAGUGAGCCCAUGGGAGAUAAUUUCCAUGGACGAAAGGGAAACAACCCUCACCACCGGCUAAGGUCCCCAAACGGGACUCAGUUCUUAAGGUGGUCAAGAUUCAUUGACAGCCAGGAUGUUGGCUUAGAAGCAGCCACCAUUUAAAGAGUGCGUAACAGCUCACUGGUCGAGAAUUUUGGCGCCGAUAAUGAUCGGGAAUCAAGUCCCGUACCGAAGCCGUGGACGAAAGUGGUAGCGGAGCGUUGCUGUCAGCGCUGAAGGCGUCUCGUGAGGGACGUUGGAGCGGCAGCAAGUGAAUAUGCAGGAUUGAGUAACGAUAAACGGAGUGAGAAUCUCCGUCGCCGAAAGCCUAAGGGUUCCUGGGGAAGGGAAAUCCGCCCAGGGUAAGGCGGGACCUAAGACGAGCCCGACAGGGGUAGUCGAUGGACAGCCGGCUAAUAUUCCGGCCCUCACGGUGAGAUCAAAGCGAAGUGCGGAUUCGAAAGCUACACGGGACAGUGAAGCGUCCGUCAGUGGGUGGAAGAGUUCCAAGAAAAGCUUCGUGGGCAAUCCGUGACCCGUACUAAAACUGACACAGGUAGGCAUGGUGAAUAACCUCAGGCGCUCGAGAGAAUGGUUGUGAAGGAACUAGGCAAAUUGACCCCGUACGUUAGCAAUAAGGGGGCCCUACCGGUUAAACGGAGGGCGCAGAGAAAAGGCUCUGACGACUGUUUAUCAAAAACACAGCACUGUGCAAACUCGAAAGAGGACGUAUACAGUGUGACUCCUGCUCGGUGCCAGAAUGUUAAGGAAGUAGGUUAGCUCCGGCGAAGCUUACGACUGAAGCACUGGUAAACAGCGGCCGUAACUAUGACGGUCCUAAGGUAGCGAAAUUCCUUGUCGGGUAAGUUCCGACGCGCAUGAAUGGAGUAACGAUUGGAGCACUGUCUCCACAACCAACUCGGUGAAAUAGUAGUGGCGGUGAAGAUGCCGCCUUACCGUGGCAAGACGGAAAGACCCCGUGGACCUUUACUGUAGGCUUGUAUUGAUCACGAUUCUGUGAUGCGUAGGAUAGGUGGGAGGCUUUGAAGCUGGGAUUUCGGUCCUGGUGGAGCCGUUGGUGAAAUACCACUCUUUGCAUUGUUGUGAUCUAACCCUGAUUCCCAUGAAGCUGGGCAGGGAACCGUGCAUGCCGGGCAGUUUGACUGGGGCGGUCUCCUCCUAAAGUGUAACGGAGGAGCACAAAGGUCAGCUCAACGCGGUUGGAAACCGUGUUUCGAGUGUAAGAGCACAAGCUGGCUUUACUGCGAGACAAACAGGUCGAGCAGUUACGAAAGUAGGUUCUAGUGAUCCUGCGAUCCCGUGUGGAAGGGUCGUAGCUCAUCGGAUAAAAGGUACCCCGGGGAUAACAGGCUUAUCGCUCCCGAGCGUCCAUAGCGGCGGAGCGGUUUGGCACCUCGAUGUCGGCUCAUCGCAUCCUGGG